rnacentral:rRNA from 1 species
GACGAACGCUGGCGGCGUGCUUAACACAUGCAAGUCGAACGAUGAAGCUGGAGCUUGCUCCGGUGGAUUAGUGGCGAACGGGUGAGUAACACGUGAGCAAUCUGCCCUUGACUCUGGGAUAACUGCGGGAAACUGUAGCUAAUACCGGAUACUUUCCUUGGUGGGCAUCCACUGGGGAAGAAAGAAUUUCGGUCAAGGAUGAGCUCGCGGCCUAUCAGCUAGCUGGUGAGGUAAUGGCUCACCAAGGCGACGACGGGUAGCCGGCCUGAGAGGGUGACCGGCCACACUGGAACUGAAACACGGUCCAGACUCCUACGGGAGGCAGCAGUGGGGAAUAUUACACAAUGGGCGAAAGCCUGAUGCAGCAACGCCGCGUGAGGGACGAAGGCCUUCGGGUUGUAAACCUCUUUUAGCAGGGAAGAAGCGAAAGUGACGGUACCUGCAGAAAAAGCACCGGCUAACUACGUGCCAGCAGCCGCCGUAA